rnacentral:rRNA from 1 species
UACGGAGGAUGCAGGCGUUAUCCGGAUUUAUUAGGUUUAAAGGGUGCGUAGGCGGGUUUGUAAGUCAGUGGUGAAAUCCUACAGCUUAACUGUAGAACUGCCAUUGAAACUGCAGACCUUGAAUGUAGUUGAGGUUGGCGGAAUGUGUAAUGUAGCGGUGAAAUGCAUAGAUAUUACACAGAACACCGAUUGCGAAGGCAGCUAACUAAACUAUGAUUGACGCUGAGGCACGAAAGCGUGGGGAU